CAUAUGCAGCGGCUCAGACGCGCUCAGACUUCAUUCACUCCAGAGUCCCGCACAGUCAAGGAGCCGUGCGCGCAGCUGCAUAGACACACUGCUGCAACGCGGGCUCUGCGUGGCACAACAAGGACAACUUUCUCCCCUGUGAUUUUCUGAGAGGAUCUGCUCGUUUGGAUUAUAUUCUCGCAGGACUGUCCCAGAGACACGAACACAGCCGUGCGUCUUGAUUCCCACACAAGAAGGAGAGCUGGGUUUCUUGUUUGAUCUCCACGUGAACUGGGGCUGAGGUUUCAAGCCUCUUUUUUUGUCUGUCAGAGGGUGAAGGACAAGUGCAAUGCGUGUCAGACUCGUCUCUUGGGAUUGUCCCGCUUGUGCCUGAGGAGCUAUGUGGAGCCGCGGCGCAGAGCUCGUUCCACGGGACGCGCGGCCAAUGUGAAUAACAAGCGUCAACUUUCCAGCCUCCUCAGCCUUUUCACACCCACGAGCCAAGUGCUGCCCGGAGUCUGACCGAGCCCGCCGAGCAGCUCUGACACCCCGGCUUCUCUCCCAUGAGGGGAUGGUUGUGGAUCCUCUGGGGCCAGGAGCGACUCUGCGGCUCCUUCAGAACAGCGCGUUUUUCUUGUUUGGGGUUCUUUCUAAAUUAAAGGGAGAUGAGAGCCGCACUUUGCCACCUCCUGCUGUGGACGGCGUACCUGCUGCUGGCCACCGCUGAGAAGGAAGUGCAGUUUCCCCAGGAGCUGAUAGACAGACUGUCCCACAGUGAAAUCCACAGCAUCAGCGACCUCCAGCGGCUACUGGACAUUGACUCCGUAGGUACGGGAAACGAUGUUAUCGAGGAGCCCAAGCACCACAAGCACCACAACCACCAUAAGAACUUCUCCCGUCACCACGGUCACUACAAUGACCUGAAGAGCUCCCAGCUCCACAGCCGACGCAAGAGGAGUAUUGUAGAGGAAGCGGUCCCAGCGGUGUGUAAGACGCGGACGGUGAUCUACGAGAUCCCCAGGAGCCAGGUGGAUCCCACGUCUGCCAACUUCCUGAUUUGGCCGCCCUGUGUGGAGGUGAAACGCUGCACGGGCUGCUGCAACACCAGCAACAUGCGCUGUCACCCUUCCCGCAAGCACCACCGCACGGUCAAGGUGGCCAAGGUGGAGUAUGUGAGGAGGAAACCCAAGCUGAAAGAGGUCUUUGUGCGGUUAGAAGACCACCUGGAGUGUGUGUGCACGUCACAACAUCACGUGGUGGAGCACUCAGAAGCAGAAACAGGCCACCGUAGGUCUAAAGGUAGAAAAAGGAAACCUAAAAAGCUAAGGCCCAGCAAGGAUUUAUUGGCGACAUAAUAAAGUUGCGCUCAUUACCCAAAGUCCACUGGAGAGCUGUGAAGGGAACAGUGGACGUGAGGUGAGACCAAUCAGAACAAGGGACUUCAGUGUGGGAGGAACCUAAAAAGAGGACGUCAACAAACAUGAGACCUGCUCGGUCCUCUUCCCCACUGCCGUGCAACCUCCGUCUAAAAAAGACAAACAUUUCUGUAAAAAUGAGCGACAGAAAAAUAGACAACAGACAAAAAUACAUAAGAUGCCAAAGGUGCUUUUUUUAUAUUAAAAAAAAACAGUGAUUAUGGAUGAUGUCUUCCUCUGUGGUGCGCUACCUAUACCCAGACAACUGAACCCUGCCAAUGAUUAAGAAGAAAUAUGCUGUGGAGCUCGGGCAGAAAGAGGCCGAAGGGAGAUGAUGAAAGGGAUUUGUGUUAAACAUUUUGACCGACGUUGUUUGAACAAGAUGUGCAACAGAAAUGGCCAUAAAACAGUUGUUUCAGGCUUUCGUGGGAAUGUGGUGCUCAGACUCCAAAACAGCAGUGGAUGUCCUCCAGCUGGGCGACAUAAAAGUGCCCUGCCCUGUUUAAAUGACUCUUGCAUACACAGGAAGGAAGAAAGAGAGAUAAAGGAAAACAAUGGCGAGCACUGGAGUUAUGGAGGUGUUUUUUCUCUCCAAAGGACUCUCAAUGGAGCAUUAAACAAUUUGAGUUUUUGGAUGUUUGCUCUGAGUGGAGAGAAAAUCCUCUCUGAGAGUCCUGGUGGUCUGUGACUUUUCCCACCUGCUGUGCGCAUUAAAAUCUGAAAAGAACGCAUCGCUACUCACAAACUAUUUAUAUAUGUGGACGUUUGAUUUUUUUUUUAUUGUCUCAGUGCAAAAGGAAGACAGAAAGAACAAAAAAGACAUUUUCAUGAUUUUGGAGACAUGCAAGAGUCCUGUGUGGUGCAGUUCUUUGUAACCAUCAGUAUCACAAUCUCAAUGUCAUUUGUUGUUAUCCUUGUCAUCCAUGUUUCUUAUUAUAUUACAGUAUAUCUGAAUGAUGUCAAGUGUUGUAAAUGGUUUGGAUAUAUGUGUGCAAGGAGGAGACGUGAGAGUCAGUACAGGAAGAUGCUUUAUUUUUGUUAUGAAAUAUAUUAUGCUUACUUAUAUCCAAGCAGGAAUUAUGUUUAAUUCUUUUGUUGUGGUUGAAUGUCUGUAUUUAAUCCUUUGGAAAAGAUGCAAAAAACGUGGGCAGGGGGUGGAAUAGACAAGGGAAAAAAAUGGCUGCCAGUGCUUGUUACUGUGUGUGCAUCAGUGUGUCAGAGCUAUGAAAAGGUGGGACUGACUGGCUCAAACAUGGCAACCUUAGUGAGUGGCCAUACUGUAGCUUAUUCUAUGAUAAGCAUGUAACAAGUUUGUGCUCACCAACCACAUUUUUUUAGAGAAAAUCUAACGUGCAAGUAUGUAUGUACUGAUAGACGGCGUGUGUAUGUAUGUAUGUGUGUGUGUGUGUUAGUGUGCCCGCACAAGAUUUCUCUGCUACGUGAUGCAAGUUUUCAUUCAUAUCACUUUAAUGUUGAUAAGGAAGAUGCACGCCCGUUCUGCUUCACAAACACACAUGUUGUGCCUGGAAAGAGCAAAGUCCACCUGAAAGAGUGAAUGAGCGAGCAAAGCAUAUCGACAAGCGCAUGAAUGGGCUCCUUGUUUAGCCAGUCUUCACUCCUCUGUUGACAGGGGAACAAAUCUCUGAUCGCUCCACCCUUUGAAGGGACUCGCACCUUGUGCAGCCACAUGCCAUCGGGACAGAUGAUGAUGGGUGCCCAGAGGUGGCCUGGAAACAGCACAGUGCUGGCCUGAACCUGUGACCCCGAUGCGAUAAACAAUUACUGCCUUACCAGUUCCUGUAACAGUGAUGAAUGUGUAACCAGGCCAACCCGGUGCAAAAACAACCCCCCCUCCGUGUUCAAAAGAAGAAGAGAAUUUCUCUAGUAAUCAAAGGCGAGUCACGUGAAAGUCGAGAGAGAAAAACUGACUGAAACAUGGAUGUAUCAGCAACUGCUGAGCUGUGAAUUCACCAACCAUCAUUCGUGUGGUGCUCUAUUUAUAAGGCUGAUGUUUCAUCACUGUCCACAUCUACACCAGUGUUGUUGUUCUCAGUAAAACAGGGACCAUGCUUGGAGAGACUUGACUUAAGCAAAAAUGCCGUCACACUAUCACUUGGCCUUUACUACUUUUCUUUUGGGCUUCCAUUGGAUAAAUACAGCAGUAAUCAUAAUUUAUAUAUAUAUUUAUGUUUUCAACAAUAAAUAUAUUUCUGCUUAUGAAAUUGUUCACUG